UCAUGCUUUUGCUGGAGCUCUUUUAGACGAUUCACCAAAUGAGAUCCAACAUCAGCACAAUGUGCCUGGCGUUUCUCCUUGUCAAGAACCUUGAGCACAGCAAGUCCACCAACGGAGCAAACAGGGUUUCCACCAAAUGUGUUAAAUUGGAUUUUUUGCGCCAGCACAUUUGCAAUCUCGGGUGUUGUUACAACUGCCCCCAAUGGUAGACCAUUUCCAAUUCCCUUUGCCAUUGUUACAAUGUCAGGAAUAACAUCUUGCGUCUGAAAUCCCCAAUAGUGACUUCCAGUUCGACCAAAUCCACUCUGGACUUCAUCAGCUAUACAAACACCACCAGCCUUCCGGACAGUGUCAUAAGCUAACUUUAAAUAUCCAGGAGCUAGUUCAACUGCACCUCCCACGCCCUACAUUCAUUUUCAGCAAUGAAACCCGCAACCCUUCCGGAGGUACCAUAAUUUAUUUGUUCUUCGACUUCCUUGGCAUAAGCUACAGCAUCAGAACCGAAAGUUCCACGGUAAGGAUCAGGGUUCAUGACAUGAUAACACAAACCUGAGGGAUUGGGUACUUCCACGUCUGCAAACCCGUCAAUCCUAUUGUUCCAGCACUACCACCAUGAUAAGCAUUUCUCAAUGCAAUCAUAUUGAGAUUCCCACUGUACAGCCGAGCCAUCAGCAUCGCCAGUUCAUUCGCUUCAGUCCCAGAAUUCACAAAAUACAACCUUGAGAUUUCCUGGCAUCUUGGACGCGAGCGCUUCUGCAAACUCGACGAUGGGUUGAUUCAAAUAUAUGGUGGUCGUGUGCUGGAGCAGCUUGGUCUGCUCCACCACAGCGUUCACGAUAUCCGGAUGGCAAUGGCCGCAUGAAACUGUCACGAUGCCUCCGAAGCAAUCGAGGUAUCUCUUCCCAUUCUCAUCGUACAGAUACUGCAUCUUCCCUUCCACAAUGUUCA
rnacentral:sRNA from 1 species